CACGUAGGGCGCGAGCGUUGUCCGGAAUUAUUGGGCGUAAAGAGCUCGUAGGCGGCCUGUUGCGUCCGCUGUGAAAGCCCGGGGCUUAACCCCGGGUCGCAGUGGAUACGGGCAGGCUAGAGGUAGGUAGGGGAGAAUGGAAUUCCCGGUGUAGCGGUGAAAUGCGCAGAUAUCGGGAGGAACGACCGGUGGCGAAGGCGGUUCUCUGGGGCCUUACCUGACGCUGAGGAGCGAAAGCGUGGGGAGCGAACAGG
rnacentral:rRNA from 1 species